rnacentral:lncRNA from 1 species
CGCGGGGAGAGCGCGCGGAGGCGGCGGGGCAAGGCCGGCGAGUCCCCGGAGGCUCUGCGGAGUGAGACCCGAGACGCCUGGAUGGCAAGAGACUGAGGGGAAAGGGAGCACACGCUCUGGAGGUUGCGGGGGCGGGCUCGGGGACAGGGGCGGAGCUACACCCCGAGGCGUGCAACUCGUGGAGAGUGAGGGGAGGAGGAGUGAGAGCGAGCUCGGCUGUGGAGUGCCCGGAGCGGGAAGAAGAAGAAGCCGGCCCAGCCUGAGUGGAAGCGAGCAACGCUCCUGGGCGCGCGAGUAGCGCGGGAUUGGCUGGGCGGACGCGGUGCGGGGACGCGCGAGGCAAGAACGCAGCCUCGGCGGGCCCCAGACAGAAGCAAUCCCCCCCCCAGCCUGCAGCCUCGUCAGUUAUCCGCCGGCUCGCUCGCCCGCCCGUCCGCCGGGGAGCCGCUCUGGGCCAGGUGCCGUAGCGAGGUGGUAAAUCAGAAUUUUAAACCAGGAGGACCUGACCAGGCUGCACAGCUU